CAAGGAUCGACUACAUGACAUAAAUGUUAAUGUAAUGUGAUCAUUUAACCCUGACUUACUUGGUAGAUUUUCUACUUUCUAAUAUUUCUCUUUAAUUACAAAGACAUUUCCAUUCGCCUCUGAUUUGCAUCGUCGCCACACAAGCAGUCUUUGAUGAAAAACAUCAUUUCCCAUAAGCCCAUGCCGGCAGUUUCACAGAAGGGGAAGCAAAAUGGCGGAAUCGGAUGGGAUGGGCCUCUUUUUGUGUUCCUUAAAGAAAGAUGUUUCGUGCCUCUGCAUGCCGUUUUAAAGUUAACAAAAACAUUGUGGCGGUUUUUAGCAGAUCAUCAGCUUUGGGAUUCAUCAGCCGGCUCAUCUCUGCACUAUGAAGAUGGGAACAGAUGGACAGGCUGAAAAAGACGAAGGAGAAAUUGUGCCAGGCAAGGUAAGUGUCAUAUCAUCUUGUUAAUGCAGGAGCAGGUUGGACAGUCACUGUGAUCAUAUAUGUAUUAUAGACCAUAAGAUUAAGAUUCAGCAUGCACAGCACUCUGCUGAAUACGCUUAAUGUCUUCUGUCUUGUCUUCUUGUAGUCACAAUCUGAACAAUGUCCUGAUGAAGAGGAGGAAGUGGAGUCUAAAGCAGACAGAAGGACAGUUGGCUUAAGAUGUUUCCAAGGAAACCGAGAGACCUCAGAGGAUGAGCCUAGUGAACUGGGGGCUGCUGUUGUUACUUCCUCUGAGCCUGUAUUUCUUGUGCCUCAGCUCAACUCACAACCUCAGUACCUGGACUGUGACUUUGAUGUGGAGCUAACAGCAGAAGUGAAAGUCGAGAAUGGCGCAUCUCUUGCUUUGUUGACAUUUGUUACCCCAAAUCUUGGUUACCAGAAGCCAGGAUCCUUCUUAAAUGGAAAUUUUCUCUUCCCACCAUCUUUAAAGAAAAAGAGAGUUUCUAUAGACAGUUUUUUGCCUUCAGGCUCUUUUCCUGGAUUUUACUCAAGUGUAACUCACGCCCCAGGACUGGCCUGUUCCCUCAAAAACUCUGAUAGGGUCAUAGAGAUUGCCAAAAGCCCUCUCCCCUCAUCACCCUCCAACUCACCAUCAUCUCCUUCAUCUGCUCCCUCUUCCCCCUCCUCCUCCCCCU
rnacentral:lncRNA from 1 species